GAUAAACGCUAGCUACAGGCUUAACACAUGCAAGUCGCGGGGCAGCAUGGGGGUUGCUUGCAAUCCCCGAUGGCGACCGGCGCACGGGUGAGUAACGCGUAUCCAACCUGCCCUUCACCACGGGAUAACCCGGCGAAAGUCGGACUAAUACCGUAUGUUGUCCAUUGACGGCAUCCGAUUUGGACGAAAGGUUUGGCGGUGAAGGAUGGGGAUGCGUCCGAUUAGCUGGACGGCGGGGUGACGGCCCACCGUGGCGACGAUCGGUAGGGGUUCUGAGAGGAAGGUCCCCCACACUGGAACUGAGACACGGUCCAGACUCCUACGGGAGGCAGCAGUGAGGAAUAUUGGUCAAUGGGCGUAAGCCUGAACCAGCCAAGUAGCGUGCAGGAUGACGGCCCUAUGGGUUGUAAACUGCUUUUAUGCGGGGAUAAAGUGGCCCACGUGUGGGUUUUUGCAGGUACCGCAUGAAUAAGGACCGGCUAAUUCCGUG
rnacentral:rRNA from 1 species